AGUGAACGCUGGCGGCGUGCUUAACACAUGCAAGUCGAACGAGAACGGGUUAUAGCUUGCUAUAAUUGUCAGCUAAGUGGCGCACGGGUGAGUAAUGUAUAGGUAAUAUGCCUCUUACUAAGGGAUAACAAAUGGAAACGUUUGCUAAUACCUUAUACUCCUUAUUAACAGAAGUUAAUAAGGGAAAGAUUUAUUGGUAAGAGAUUAGCCUGUAUUGUAUCAGUUAGUUGGUGGGGUAAUGGCUUACCAAGACUAUGACACAUAACUGGUUUGAGGGGAUGAUCAGUCACACUGGAACUGAGACACGGUCCAGACUCCUACGGGAGGCAGCAGUGGGGAAUAUUGCACAAUGGACGAAAGUCUGAUGCAGCGACGCCGCGUGGAGGAUGACACAUUUCGGUGCGUAAACUCCUUUUAUAUGAGAAGAUAAUGACGGUAUUAUAUGAAUAAGCACCGGCUAACUCCGUGCCAGCCGCCGCGGUAA
rnacentral:rRNA from 1 species